rnacentral:lncRNA from 1 species
CUGGGACCAGGCACAGUUAGCAAGCAACCCACAAGGCUCCUGGAACCUUUCACAUGGAUGACCUCACCCCAGUCUUUCAAUAACGGAGUCUGUGGGUGCAGCACACACAAUAACAGCGUCUGUGAGCUGCGUGAAAAGAAAGCGUCCAGUGAGCCAGCAGACAGCAGUGACUCCGUUAGUGCUGGUGGAAGUCGUCCUGCACAGUAGCCCGCCUCUUCUGGUCUCCCUCACAACAGCCGGGAAGGUUUUCAAAGGUUCUCCCCCUCCUCUUCCGAUCUCCACCACAUUCUGCAGGCAGCAGAGCAAAGCGGCCUCUUGGGGCUCCUGUUUCAAACCCUGACCCUGACAGGAUUCAUGGCGGAGGCCAAGUGUUCAGGAGAAGUGGGGUGAACAGCAACUUCCUCGGCCGGGACAGAAAGUGCCGUAGUGCGGAAAGAUGUGGUAGCAGCACACACAUCUGUGGGUAGAGAGCGCGCAGGGCUGGGCCCUGGCCAGGUGGCGAGCGCAGCAGACAGGUCGUGGGUUCGGCCGGACUUUGUCUUGGCCCGGGGCCCUGCAGCCCCAAGUGGGAAGCCCUGUGUGGUUCUGGUUGCUGCUGACCUUGGACAGUGUCCACAGGGCCCUGGGACUCCUGGGAUCGGAGCUGCCCCCGCGUGGAGCACCCUGGGGACACAAGGACACUCUGCCCCACCCGGGAACCUCGCAGCCACCGCCAGGAGAAUGGGGAGAGCUGGGCCUGUGCACCUGACAGCGCAAGAGGCCCUGGCGCCUGGCACCCGUUUUCACUGCUGCUAAGCCUGAGAUGGAGUGGAUGGUGAGGCUGGCUCCUGCGGCGCUCUGAUGGCACAGCAGCUGCCUGGAGUCUUGCUAUGCAGUUCAGACUGGCCUCGAGCAGACAGUGAUCCUCCUGCCUCAGCCUCCCGAGAGCUGGGAUGACAGGCAUCGCCACCACACCCGGCUCUUCU